rnacentral:rRNA from 1 species
CGUUCCCGGGCCUUGUACACACCGCCCGUCACACCACGAAAGUUGGUAACACCCGAAGCCAGUGGCCCAACCCUCGGGGGGAGCUGUCGAAGGUGGGAUCAGCGAUUGGGGUG